rnacentral:misc_RNA from 1 species
UCAAACUUGGUCAUUUAGAGGAAGUAAAAGUCGUAACAAGGUUUCCGUAGGUGAACCUGCGGAAGGAUCAUUACCAAGCUGAGGGGGUGACGAUCUCGGAGGCUGGUGUACACACAAGCCGCUGAGCGGGAGCCGUUGCAAGAUGAGACUCCUCGCCGCGGUGCCUCCCAAGACAAGCCCCCGAACCUUCCACCCUUGUCCACUUGUACCCUUUGUUGCCUCGGCGGGUACGCCCGCCGGAGGACCACACCAAAAACUCUUGUUGUAAACGGCGUCUUGUCUGAGCUAUAGCGAAAGCAAUGGUUUAAAACUUUCAACAACGGAUCUCUUGGUUCUGGCAUCGAUGAAGAACGCAGC